rnacentral:lncRNA from 1 species
UUGAUUAGGAUUUGUUAGAAUUAGGAUUUGUCUAAGAUUUGACUAGGGUAUGUUUUGGAUUUAGGGUUUGUCUAAGGUUUGAUUAAGGUUGGAUUAGGAUUAGGAUUUGGUUAGAAUUUAAGAUUUAUUUAGAUUUUUGUUAGGGUUUGACUAAAUUUUCUUUAAUAUUUUUUUAUAUUUCUUUAAGAUUUUCUUGUGUUUCUUUUAUAACUUCAAUAAAAUUUAAUUGAGCUUGCUUAAUGUUUGAUUAUGAUUGUUAACAUUUAAUUGUAAUUUCUCUAUAAUCCUAUUGGAUUGUUAGGACCUUUUGUUGCAAUUUUCUUUUACCUUCCACAGCCAGGUGCUCUUUGCAUUCUCAAGCAAGUCUUCACAUAAUACGACAUAUAUGGUGAAACCGACGUGGAAUGCUUGAGGUAGAAGAAAUUUAGUUUUCUUCGAUUAUUUGAAUUUUGGAGAAGAAAGACAAGAAAGUUGGAAGAAGAGCUUUAGGUGAUAUGUGAAUUAGAGCUUUUCAAUUCUUCGAGCUUUGGAUACUAUCUUAAAAUACAAUGGCAAUAUCUAGAUUAUCAUGGAGUAUUAUAAGGCUUUAUAGAUAUGUAGGAACAUUGUGAAGUAUCAUAAGAUAUUUAUUGGAGCAUUUUGAUGUACCAUUUGGAGCAUUUCAAGGAACAUUUUUGAUCAUUGUAGAACAAAAUGGAAGAUAUAUUAUCAAGGUUUUUGGAUAUGCCAAAUAUUAUCGAUGGGUCAAAUAUUAGUGAGCUUUUUAAAGCUUUCUAUAUAUUCAUAGAGGAGCAACAAAGAAUGCAAGCAAUUGAAAAAGAUAUCACAAGGACAUGUCAAGGACAAGAACUCGAUGAAAAUGCAAUUCAGACAAGUGAGCCUUCACUCAAAGAAAGGUAACAAAAUAUAAAUAAACAAGUAUGUAUAUUGAAAGAGAAACUAGAAUGGCUAUUGCAAAAAGAUAAGAAAACUACAAACCCUUGAAAUUAGACUGGAAGCAAGAAAAGAGUUGACAAGAGUGAAGAAGGCUUUACUCUUGUCUCUAUAUAUAUACUAUCUAACUAGGGGCUACGUGGCGACGUUCUAUAGGACCUCCAAUAUGUGUUGACUUUGUAGGACACAUGCCUUGACUUACAAGGCAAGUUUUUCUACAUAUGGACCACAUAAUUAGCUUGGUCUUCAAGCUAACAAUAUGUGUGGCACAUGGCCAACUUGUUGACCACGUUUCUAAUCCAAAAAGUCAAUUAAAGACACCUAUGAAGUCAAAGCAACAUCUAUGAAGCUUCUAGAAAGCUUCCAUAUCAAAUACAAUAGAAUUAAUUUACUUUUAUCUACUUUUACUUACUUCUACCUAUUUGUAUAUGUAAUUAUGAGUAUGUCUGUGACAGGGCAUUGCAAGGAGACAUCAACAAAUUUGGGAGGUUUGGAAGAUACAACAUCACUAAGUUUUUGUAAGUUUAUACCUGUGAGAUGGAGACAUAUCAAAUCCUUGAGACAAAGAUGAUCUCAAGCUUACAUUUGGCUAUUGAACCUAGAUUUCAAGAAAAGAUGAAGGGAUUGCUUGAAGGAGGUAUAGAAACAUGGUAAAAUUUCAAGAAAUUUUGAAAAAAGAAUUUAUUGAUGGAUAUGAAAAUAGGAUUACCAAGCAAAAGUUUUUGAAUUGGAUAGAGUUUCAAUCAGGCAAGCAUGUGGAUCUUUAUGAAUUUUUGGAAGAAUUUGAUAGGAGAUGUUAUCAACUGUCACCUUCAGAGAGACGAUCAUUGGAUAUUUUAAAGAUAGAUUUGUUUUUAAAUANNNNNNNNNNNNNNNNNNNNNNNNNNNNNNNNNNNNNNNNNNNNNNNNNNNNNNNNNNNNNNNNNNNNNNNNNNNNNNNNNNNNNNNNNNNNNNNNNNNNUAUAAAUACGAGUUAAUUGAAUUGGACUUAUGACUCUCUACUUGAUUAAUUACACUAUUAGUUAUACUUUUAGAGAAAGUAAGAGUUCGAGAAAUCCAAUCUAUUUGAGGGUUGUAUUUUUCUAACCACGAUAAAUCUAAAAUGACUGGAUUAGAAGAAGAUCUAAUGAUAUUAAAUACUACAAAACUAUUAUAACCAUUGAUUAUUACUUCUAUAGGAAGGGUUUUGUAAGUAAUAUCUCCAGAAGAUAAUGGACGACCAUCUAUGACUUCUACAGGAGAGGGCUCUGAGGAGAGAAUAGGACCUUUACUAGAUGUUGUGCAAGGUUCCAGGUGCACGGUCCCUCUUGUAGCUGGACAAACUCGUUUUCUGCCAUAUUAUCUUCUUUUACAGCCAUACUACUCAUUUCUUUGGAUAAUGUUGAGCAAUGUGCUUUGGUUCUCCACAAUACAAACAUAAUCCUUCUUGACGAUGAUGAAUCUUUUCUUGCUCAAUAAGAGGUUUGAAACGUACUGCAUCAAUUUGCAUAUCCUCUACUUUUGAAUAUAUGUGUUGAAGAGGUGUUGGUGUUGCCAUUGAAUUAUAGUAAUGUUGAGGUUCACUUAUAUGGUUCUCAGAUCGGAAUUCAAAAAGGAAAUUGUCGCACUUCACAGCAAAGUCAAUUGCUUGACUCAAUGUUUGAAAAUCAGGUAAGUUGAGCAUUAAUUUUUUUACCUCAUAUUGUAAUCCAUAGAAAAAUUGGCUAAUAAGUGCAGCAUCAUCCCACUUGAUAUCAGUUGCAAGUUGUCAAAAUUGUGAAGCAUACAACGUUACUGAUCGAUUCCCUUGUUUUAAAAUACGGAUCUUAUUGGUUGCAACACGAAUUACAUCAUGUUCUCCAUACAUGGAUCGAAACUCCACCAGAAAAGCCUCUAGAUUAUCUAAUAUUGGAUCUCGUCAUUCAAGAAAAGAUGAAAAUCACGAUAAUGCUGAACCUAAAAGAAGCGUACCAAUGAAUCUCACUUGCGAUCUUGGAAUUGGAUAGCUUUGGAGUUGAAGUUCAAUCACAAGUUGCACUUGAUUGAUAAAUCCUCGAAACUUGGAUCUGGUGCCAUCAAACUUCUCGGGUAGAACAAUUCUUGAUUCUCUAAUAUUUGAAGAGCAUUCUACCGUAGGAGAAAGGACAUGGUUUGGUGCAAAUGUUGAAGCAGCUCCAACCAUUUCUAUAUCUUCACUUCCUGCUAAUCUUGUUGCUCCUUGUGGUUGUAAAUUGAGUUGAUGCAUCGCAAGCAUUAACUCCCUCAAUUGUUCUUGCAUUUGUGCCAUUGCAUUCUUCAUUUCAAUAAAUUCUGCCAUGAUAAUACUUAGAAGAGAGAAGAUGUCUAAUAUCGCUCAAGACAAAUAGAAGAGAGGACUUGAGAACAAAGAAAAUACUAAAGACAAUAUCAGUUUAGAAGAGGGUAAUCCACAACUUCUAAUAUGCUUAUAUCUUAUCAAGAAAAAGGGGUAAUCUACUCUUAAUCAAGAUAAGACAAAGCUCUGAUAUUGUAGGUGUAUUCUUGUCAAUCUGUCAAGGUGUCAAGGACAAGAACUCGAUGAAAGCUAAAGAGUAAGUGAGACUUUUCUCAAAGAAAUAGGACAAAAUAGAAAUAUGUAUAUUAAGAAAGAAAUUAGAAUGGCUAUUGCCAAAAUACAAGAAAACUAGAGACCCUUGAAACUAGACUAGAAGCAAGAAAGGAGUUGACAAGAGUGAAGAGGGCUUCACUCUUGCCUCUAUAUAUACUAUCUAACUAGAAGCCACGUGGCGAUGUUCUAUAAGACCUCCAAUAUAUGUUGACUUUCUAGGCCACAUGCCUUUGCUUGCAAGGCAAGUUUUCUAUGGAUGGACCACGUAGUUAGCUUGUUCUUUAAGCUUCCAACAUGUGUGGUACAUGGCUAACUUGUUGACCAAGUUUCUAACCUAAAAGUCAACUAUAGACUCCUAUAAAGUCAAAGCAGCGUCUAUGAAGCUUCUAAGAAGCUUCUCUAGAAGAUAUUACACAAUUAACCUACUUUUAUCUACUUUUACAUACUUUUAUCUAUUCAUAUAGGUAAUUAUAUGUAUGUCCGUGACAUUACCCCCCCUUCUAGGAACGAGUUCCACGAGGAGCGGUGAUUAUAUAUUGAAAAAAUCUAAUAUGCGGCGAAUUAUAUUUGCUACAUACUCUGAUCUUUGUUCUCUUCGAAGAUAGUUGAUGGGUCCUCUUAGCCAUCGAUAGUGUCCCAUUCCAGGGCGAGAAGACCACCUUGUUAUUUGAUCACUGUUGAGGCCUUCAUAACUUCCUUCAAAUAAUACAUUUGAAACACCAUCAGGAGUUGUUCCUACCUCUAGCAAAAUCACCAAACAUCGGGAGUCCCUUCCCAAGUCGUGAUACCAAACGCGUUGUAUCUCACCAUCUGUUCGAGGAAGAACAUGUCGUUCUUGAAGAUCUUCAUCUCGAUUGCGUCGUCUUGAAGGUUGUGACAAUCGUAAUGUCUCGUCCGGCAGGUCAGCAAACGAAGGUUCUUGAGUUGAAUCCGCUGGUUGUUGGCUCUCCAUCUAAUUAGCGUCACAAAUGUAAAGAAGUUACAAACAAGGAUAGAAAAUUGAAUGUUACCUUGCCUCAAUCUUGUCUCUUUUAUAAGAGAGGUUUUCAUCUUGGUUUUGAUGGAUGUCGUUGAUGAAAAACUUUGACUUUAGCUGAUGCAUUUGCUAGAUUCCUGGAUGGCUCCCAUGUGCGCUCACUAAUAUCAUAUCCGCGCCAAUGAACAAGUUAUUCCAGCUUAUUUCGGCGCCGCCUUGAGUCUAAUAUCUCUUCCACCUCAAAUUCUUCAUUAUUAUCUACUUCUAUAGGAGGCGGUGGCAUUUGUCUUCUUCCUUGUAUAUCCACUGUCUUAUAUGGUUCAAGAAGAGACACGUGGAAUACAGGAUGGAUCUUCAUUGACUCCGGUAGAUGUAACCGAUAUGCAACUGGGUUGAUCUGUUCAGAAACAGAAAAGGGGCCAAGCCUACGAUAGUCCAAUUUGUCACAAGGUCGAGUGGUCUUGAUAUUGCGACGAAGUAGCCAUACCUUAUCACCCACGUUGAGUUGUGGUUGCUCUUUACGAUAUACAUCUGCAUUUAUCUUUUGUCGUUCUUGAGCUUUCUUCAACUGCGCCUUCAUUAUUGCAUGUAACUCUGACAACCGAUUUGCCAUGUCUUCUGCUGCAGGAUUAUCAACUUUUGAAAAAUCAAAAGUAUCAAGUCGUGGAUGAUAGCCAUAAUUGGCAAAGAAAGGUGUUUGUUGCGUGGAAGAAUGUACUGUAUUAUUAUAAGCAAACUCUGCCAAUGGCAGAAGGAUUGUCCAAUCAUCUUGUUGGUAGUUGAUGGUACACCUUAAAUACUGUUCCAAGACUUGGUUUACGCGCUCUGUUUGUCCAUCAGUUUGAGGAUGGAAAGCUGAAGAUAGUUUUAUGUCCACUUUUAAAAUCUUGAAAAGAGUCCUCCAGAAUCUCGACACAAAUUGAGUUCCUUUAUCCGAUAUGAUAUCUUUAGGUAAUCCAUGAUAGCGAUAGAUAUUAUCAAUGAAAAGCUUAGCUGUUUCUUCACCUGUGAUAGAUUUUGUACAUGGCAUAAAAUGUGCCAUCUUGGUGAAACGAUCUACUAUCACAAAUAUAGAAUCAUAAGAUCUUGAGUUUGGAAGAUCUGUGAUGAAAUCCAUAGAAACAGAAGACCAUGGUUGUUCUGGUAUAGGUAAUGGCUGAAGAAGUCCGUAAGGUCGAUGUCGAGGAAUUUUUGAUCUUGAACAAAUAUCACAUGAUUGUACAAAGUCUUUGACUGACUUCCACAUUUGUGGCCACCAAAAAUCUCUUGAUAUGAGUUCCAGAGUCUUAUUAUAUCCAAAGUGACCUGCUGCUGGAAAGUCAUGACGUGCUUGAAGAACACGCAAACGUGCUUUUCCUUCUGGAACAUAUAGGCGUCCUUCAAAAUAUAAUAGAUUAUUCUUGAACUCGAACUUAGAAGAAUCAUGAGACUUGGAAGAAUUAUUCUCGAUAUCAUGAACAAGAGGGUCUGAGGACAUACUGGACUGGAUUUGCUUGAGAAAAGUUGAAUCAACAGUCAGUGUUGAUUUCACUGCUCGGAGAUGAAAUUGCUCCGGUUUCAAGAGGACCGUUCUUUGUUGCUCAAAAGCUGCAUCUCCUUCUUUUGGUGCAAAAUAAGAACGUCUAGACAGGGCAUCGGACAAACCUUGUUGUUUUCCUGGCCGAUAAGUGAUAAUGAAGUCGAAUCUUGACAAAGACAUACUCCAACGAGCUUGACGACGAUUCAACACGCGUGCUGACAUGAAAUACUCGAGGUUCUUGUGAUCUGUAUACACAGUGACUGGACUAGAAGCACCUUCUAGAUAAUGACGCCAUUCUUGAAAAGAAUCCACGAUUGCAAGAAGUUCUUUAUCGUGGAUCUCAUAAUUGAUCUCGGCUGCUGAGAAUUUUCUUGAAUGAAAAGCUAUCGGAUGAAGUUUGUCAUCUGUUCCCAUUUGUGAUAAAACUACACCCAAGGCAAAAUCCGAUGCGUCUGUUUCCAUAAAAAAUACCUUGGAAAAGUCAACACGAUAUAAGACUGGUGCAGAGACAAACGAUGUCUUCAAGGCUUCAAAUGCUGCUUCCGCUUCUUGAUUCCAUUGAAAUUUAUCUUUACUAGUCAAGCGUGUAAGUGGAGCUGCAACUCGUGAGAAGUCUUUGAUGAAGAUCCGAUAGUAAUUGAUAAAUCCCAAGAAACAUUGGACAUCUCUUACAGUCUUUGGAAUCUUCCAAUCCAUGAUUGUUUGGACUUUCUUAGAAUCCAUCAUAAGACCAUCAUUUGAAAUGAUGUAUCCUAAAAAGUCAACUUGAGUAGUGUGAAAUACACACUUUUCUAUCUUGGCGUACAAUCCUGCAUCUCUAAGUUUUUGUAAUACUUGACGAACAUGUAUUUCAUGUUCUUCAACAUUCUUAGAAUAAAUCAGGAUAUCGUCUAGGUAGCAGACGACAAAAUUGUCUAAGAAUUCACGAAAUACAUCAUUCAUGAGAUGUUGAAAAGCAGCUGGUGCAUUCGUGAGUCCAAAAGGCAUGACAUUGUAUUCAAAGUGUCCGUACCUGGUUCGAAACGCAGUCUUCCAUUCAUCUCCUUCUUUGAUCCGUACUAGAUUAUAUGCUCCUCUUAGAUCUAUUUUUGUAUAGAUCUUAGCUUGAUUUAACUGGUCAAGGAGUCCUGAUAUCAAAGGUAAUGGAUACCUGUUCUUGAUUGUGAUCUUGUUGAGUCCUCGAUAGUCAACACACAUUCGUAAAGAUCCAUCUUUUUUCUUUACGAAUAAAAUUGGAGCUCCUGCUGGAGAUUUUGAAUGGCGUAUGAAAUUCUUCGCUAAAUUCUCGUCAAUAUAUGUCUUGAGUUCAGCCAACUCAUCUUGCGAUAAACUGUAAAUUGGUCCAAAUGGUGGCUGAGUUCCUUCGUUGAGAUCGAUUGAACAAUCGUAUGGGCGAUGCUCAGGAAGAAUAUCUGCAUUCUUUUUCUCAAAAACGUCUUGAUAAUCCUGAUAUUGACUUGGAAUGCCACUUGAAGUCUUUACGCUUUCAGAAAUAGGUGCAGCAUAAAUAGCAAAAGUUGAUCCUUCUUUUGCUGCGUGUAUAAAUGCUUUUGCACCUAAAAGUGCGGGUUUUACUAUACUAGACUCAUGGUUUUUUACUUGAUUAAUAGAACUGUUACUAAUGCUCCGAGGAAAAUCAAGUUUACGAGAAAUCCAAUCUAUUCGAGGAUUAUACUUUUCUAACCAUGAUAAGCCUAAAAUUACUGGAUUAGAGGGAGAUCUAAUUAUAUUAAAAAUUACGCAACUACUAUGACCAUUUAUUACUACAUCUACAGGAAGUGUUUCGUGAGUUACAUCUCCAGAAGACAACGGACGACCAUCUAUGACUUCUACGUGUACAGGUUUAGUUUUUUGUAUUAAUGAUAUUCUAUGACAUCUAGCAAAUUCUUCAUCUAAAAAACAAGCUGAGGCUCCUGAAUCUAUCAAGGCAGAGGCUUUGUAAUUAUUAGGUCCUAAACACACAUCUAUUAUAAAACAAGGAGAUGGUUCUGAGGAGAGGAUAGGACCUUCAUUAGAAGUUGUACAAGAUUCCAGCCGCACGGUCCCUAUUGUAGCUGGACGUACUUGUUUUCUGACAUACUGUCUUCUUUGACAGCCGUACUCAUCAUUUUGUAGUUACGUCGCUUCUUUGGACAAUGUUGAGCAGUGUGCUUAGGUUCUCCACAAUAUAAGCACAAUCCUUCUUGUCGACGACGACACUUUUCUUGCUCAGUAAGAGGUUUGAAACGUACCGCAUCAAUUUGCAUAUCCUCUACUUCUGAAGGUAUGUGUUGAGGAGACGUCGGUGUUGCCAUUGAAUUGUAGUAACGUUGAGGCCUACUUGUGCGACUCUCGGAUCGAAAUUCAAAAAGUCGAUUGUCGCACUUCACAGCAAAGUCAAUUGCUUGACUCAAUGUUUGAGGAUCAGGUAAAUUAAGCAUCAAUUUCUUUACCUCAUAUUGUAAUCCGUAGAGAAAUUGACUCACAAGUGCGGCAUCAUUCCACUUGAUAUCAGUUGCAAGUUGUCGAAAUUGCGAAGCAUAUAAUGUUACUGAUCGAUUGCCUUGUCGCAAAAUACGGAUCUUGUUGGUUGCAACACGAAUUGCAUCAUGUUCUCCAAACAUGGAUCGAAACUCCGCCAAAAAAGCCUCCAGAUUAUCCAAUAUUGGAUCUCGUCGUUCAAGAAAAGAUGAAAACCAUGACAAUGCUGAACCUGAAAGAAGUGUACCAAUGAAUCUAACUUGUGACCCUGGAGUUGGAUAGCUCUGGGGUUGAAGUUCAAUCACUAAUUGGACCUGAUUGAUGAAUCCUCGAAACUUGGAUCUGGUACCAUCAAACUUCUCGGGCAAGGCCACUCUCGGUUCUCUAAUACUCGAAGGAUGUUCCAUUCUGGGAGAAGGGACAUGGUUUGGUGCAGAUGUUGAAGCAGCGCCAAUCAUCUCUAUAUCUUCACUUCCUACCAUUCUUGUUGCUCCUUGUGGUGGUAAAUUGAGUUGAUGCAUCGCAAGCAUUAACUCCCUCAAUUGUUCUUGCAUCUGUGCCAUUGCACUCUUCAUUUCAACAAGCUCUGCCAUAGUAGCACUUAGAAAAGAGAAGAUGUCUAAUAACGCUCAAAACAAAUAGAAGAGAGGAAUUGAUAACAAAAAAAAUACUAAGAACAAUAUCAGUUUAAAAGAGGGUAAUCCGCAACUUCUAAUGCGCUUAUGUCUUAUCAAGAAAAAGGGGUAAUCCACUCUUAAUCAAGAAAAGACAAAGCUCUCAUAUUGUAAGUAUACUCUUGUCAAUCUGUCAAGGACAAGAACUCGAUGAAAGCUAAAGAGUAAGUGAGACUUUUCUCAAAGAAAUAGGACAAAAUAGAAAUAUGUAUAUUAAGAAAGAAAUUAGAAUGGCUAUUGCCAAAAUACAAGAAAACUAGAGACCCUUGAAACUAGACUAGAAGCAAGAAAGGAGUUGACAAGAGUGAAGAGGGCUUCACUCUUGCCUCUAUAUAUACUAUCUAACUAGAAGCCACGUGGCGAUGUUCUAUAAGACCUCCAAUAUAUGUUGACUUUCUAGGCCACAUGCCUUUGCUUGCAAGGCAAGUUUUCUAUGGAUGGACCACGUAGUUAGCUUGUUCUUUAAGCUUCCAACAUGUGUGGUACAUGGCUAACUUGUUGACCAAGUUUCUAACCUAAAAGUCAACUAUAGACUCCUAUAAAGUCAAAGCAGCGUCUAUGAAGCUUCUAAGAAGCUUCUCUAGAAGAUAUUACAUAAUUAACCUACUUUUAUCUACUUUUACAUACUUUUAUCUAUUCAUAUAGGUAAUUAUAUGUAUGUCCGUGACACUUUGAGACAACAAAAGGUUAUGAUGUUUCACAAAGAUGUAUUCAAGAAGAUAUGAGAGAUGUUAUACAAGAUUAUGUGGCAAAUGAAGAUUAUGAGACAAAAGAUAAGGAUGCUAACUCAUUGACAAUGAUUAAGUUAAUUGUAAGCACUUUUCUUUUGGACCAAGAUCAAAGUUACAUAGAUAAUGCACGUGUAAUGGAGACACAAUUGGAUUUUGACAAAGAUGAGGUUUAUUAUCAAGUAUGGAAUUCAAGAGUUGAAAAUCUAAAAAUCUUCAAAUAUAAAGACAUGGAAAAUGGAUUUAAAGAUUACAUGGAAAUUUUAUAUGGGACUUGGAAUCAAAGAAAUAAGAAAAAGGAUACAAACAAGAUAUAUGUGGCUAUGUGGAAGAGGUUUCAAUUCAAUCUUUUUUAUUUCAAAUUUUAUACCUCGCCAAUAGUUUGGUCAUGUGCAAAGGAGGAUAUUUACAGAUUACUUGUACAUGAAGAGUAAAUGGAAACAUUGGCAUUGAACUAUAUAUAUAUAUAUAUAUAUAUAUAUAGAUAUAUAUAUGAAUAUUUUGGAGAAGUAUCAUUGUAAAGCAAGACUAUGGAGGUAUAAAAAAGGAAGGGUAUUCUUACAAGAUAUAGAUGCUUUUGAUUUCAAUUUUAUUGGAAAAAAAAAAAAAAAAAAAAAAAAAAAAAGAGAUUUUAGAGAAGUAUCAUUGUAAAGCAAGACUAUGGAGGUAUAAAAAAAGGAGGGGUAUUCUUACAAGAUAUAGAUGCAUUUGAUUUCAAUUUUAUAAAUAAAUAAAUAAAUAAAUUAAUAAAAAUUAGAGAAGUAUUAUUGUAAAGCAAAAAUAUGAAGGUAUAAAAAGAAAGGUACAUUUACAAGAUAUAGGUGCCUUUGAUACUUUGAUAUAAGUUUUUUUAAAAAAAAAAAAAAAAAAAAAAAAAAAAAAAAUUAAAGAAGUAUCAAUGUAAAGUGAUACUAUGGAGGUAUGAAAAGGAGGUACUCUUAUAAGAUGUAGGUACUUUUGAUUCAAGUUUAUUGGCAUUCAAAAUAUAUAUAUAUAUAUAUAUAUAUAUAUAUAUAUAUUAUGUGAGUUAUGAAUAUUAAAAGAUGAUGAGGAUUUUUGGUAUUCAUCAAGAAAAUUGAUUGGAAGAUUUAUGAAGGAAAUUACAUAUAUUGGAUUAAAGGAUGAUGAUAAUGGAAGUGAGUGAAGAUAUUCAAAUAAAAGCAAAUAUAAAAAAUUAUAGAAGACUUUGUCAAAGAUAUAAAUCUUUCAAGACAACAAGAUGACUUUGAUUUGAAUAGCGAAUAUAAACAAGAAGAAUUGGAUGAGGACAUUGAAAAUAUUGUAUGAAUCAAACAAAGUUGGAUUAUUUGGUGCAUACUGGAGGAUGCAUAAGUUCAGGGGGGGUGGAUGUCGUGAUGUAACAUGGAUAACAAGUGAAAGGGUGAAGAAAAUAUCAUGUUUUGAGGAUCUCACUUCAAAAAUAUUGUAGCAAAUUAUCUUGGAAAAAUAGAUAGUAGUCAAAGGGUAGAAAAAUUAAAGGUGCUAAUGCUGCCUAUUUAUAAAUUAUGCUUCUAUUUACUUUGUAAGGCCAUAAAUAAGGCAAAACAAGGUAGACUAGAAAAAUAAAGGAUAUAGGCAUAUGUAGGGAGGAGUUAGGAGUGCAAAUUAGUAAAAAUUACCUCAAGAAGACAAAAGUUGAUACCCGAAGAGGACCGGUUAUGAACCUGGGUCGAAAUCUGACCCCGAGGCACAAAACCGUGCUCUGACGGUGACUCAAGGAUUCUUUGGGAGUUCGAAGAGCCGAAUUAGGGAGCAGACUUGUGGAGGGAUUUUUGAGAGGUGAUUUUGUGUCGUUUGGAUUAGUAUUGGAUUUUUGAGGGAUUUUCAAAGUGAGUGAUGUUCUCUAUGACUUUAGAUCUUUGAGAAAUAAAACCGGUUUACAAAUUUUUGGAUUUCAUGACUUUUGUAGUAUUUUUACAAGUGAAAAUUUAGAAGCUUAUUGAUAUGCUUGUUGUGAAUGUGUACAAGAGAUCUGAGGUCAAUCAAAUGGCUAGAUCAAUACAUAUGAAGGUUUUUGUGGGCUAAGAUCUCGAGAUUUAGGGUUUUGAAGACCAAUAAGAUUUUCUUAGAUAUCUAGCAAUUUGCUAAUUGGAUUGGAGAGAUUUUUGGUUUUAUCAGUAGAAGACUUGAUUUCCUAUAUGCAAGUAAAAUUUGGAAGCAAUGGAACGGUGGAAAAAAGAGAUAUUGGCACUGGAAGUUUGGCAUCAGAUUGAAGAAGGAGAGGUCGACCGACAUCCAAGCAGAAUUUUGAGGUUAUCAACUAAUUAGUAAGUUCAAUUUUCUUCAAAAUUUGUAUGUUGGUUGCUAACUUAAACUUCAAGAAGUGUCCAAAUUUUGAAUUAGAAUCAAUAGUUCAAUCUUUAGUUAUUUAAAUUUCAAAUUUGUGAUUAAGAUUUGGUUUGGAUUAGGAUUUGAUUAGGAUUUAGGGUUAGGAUUUGGUUAGGAUUUGGUUUAGGAUUUAGGGUUUGGUUAGGGUUAGGAUUUGGUUAGGAUUUAGAGUUAAGAUUUAACUAGGAUUUGACUAGGGUUUGUUUAGGAUUUGGAAUUGAUUAGGAUUUGUUAGGGUUAGGAUUUGUCUAAGAUUUGAUUAGGAUAUGUUUAAGAUUUAGGAUUUGUUUAGGAUUUAAUUAAGGUUAGAUUAAGAUUAGAAUUUGGUUAGAAUUUAAGGUUUAUUUAGAUUUUUGUUAGGAUUUGACUAAGUUUUCUUUAAUAUUCUUUUAUAUUUCUUUAGGAUUUUCUUGUGUUUCUUUCAUAAUUUCAAUAGAAUUUAAUUGAACUUGCUUAAUAUUUGAUUAUGAUUGUUAAUGUUUAAUUAUAAUUUCUCUAUAAUCCUAUUGGAUUAUUAGGACCUUUUGUUGCAAUAUUCUUUUACCUUCUACAGUCAAGUGCUCGGUGCAUUCUCAAGCAAGUCUUCACGUAAUAUGACAACGUAC